rnacentral:rRNA from 1 species
AACGAACGCUGGCGGCGCGCCUAAUACAUGCAAGUCGAGCGAGAAGACGUAGCAAUACGUUUGUAAAGCGGCGAACGGGUGAGGAAUGCAUGGGUAACCUACCCUCGAGUGGGGAAUAACUAGCCGAAAGGUUAGCUAAUACCGCGUACGCUCCUUGGACUUCGGUUCAGGGAGGAAAGCGAUACCGUGGGUAUCGCGCUCUUGGAUGGGCUCAUGUCCUAUCAGCUUGUUGGUGAGGUAACGGCUCACCAAGGCUUCGACGGGUAGCUGGUCUGAGAGGACGAUCAGCCACACUGGCACUGCGACACGGGCCAGACUCCUACGGGAGGCAGCAGUAAGGAAUAUUGCGCAAUGGGCGAAAGCCUGACGCAGCGACGCCGCGUGGGGGAGUGAAGGUC